rnacentral:rRNA from 1 species
UUGAACGCUGGCGGAAUGCUUUACACAUGCAAGUCGAGCGGCAGCGCGGGGGCAACCUUGGCGGCGAGCGGCGAACGGGUGAGUAACAUAUCGGAACGUACCCAGACGUGGGGGACAACUAGUCGAAAGACUAGCUAAUACCGCAUACGUCCUGAGGGAGAAAGCGGGGGAUCGCAAGACCUCGCGCGUUUGGAGCGGCCGAUAUCUGAUUAGCUAGAUGGUGGGGUAAAGGCUCACCAUGGCGACGAUCAGUAGCUGGUCUGAGAGGAUGAUCAGCCACACUGGAACUGAGACACGGUCCAGACUCCUACGGGAGGCAGCAGUGGGGAAUUUUGGACAAUGGGGGCAACCCUGAUCCAGCCAUGCCGCGUGAGUGAAGAAGGCCUUCGGGUUGUAAAGCUCUUUCAGACGGAAAGAAAACGCAUCGGUGAAUACCCGGUGUGGAUGACGGUACCGUAAGAAGAAGCACCGGCUAACUACGU